CGCGGCGCCGGUCUAAGUUUCUUGGAACAGAACGUCGCAGAGGGUGAGAAUCCCGUACGUGACCGGUGACCAAGCCCGUGUGAAGCCCCUUCGACGAGUCGAGUUGUUUGGGAAUGCAGCUCAAAAUGGGUGGUAAAUUCCAUCUAAAGCUAAAUAUUGGCCAGAGACCGAUAGCGGACAAGUAGAGUGAUCGAAAGAUGAAAAGCACUUUGGAAAGAGAGUUAAACAGUACGUGAAAUUGUUGAAAGGGAAGCGCUUGCGACCAGACCGGUCCGGGGGCGAUCAGCCGCUGCUCGUCAGCGGUGCACUCGCCUCCGAUCCGGCCAGCAUCGGUUUGGGCGGCGGGAUAAAAGUCCCGGGAAUGUAGCUUCCCUCGGGGAGUCUUAUAGCCCGGGUCGCAAUGCCGCCCGCCUGGACCGAGGACCGCGCUUCGGCUAGGAUGCUGGCGUAAUGGUCGCAAGCGACCCGUCUUGAAACACGGACCAAGGAGUCUAACAUCUAUGCGAGUGUUUGGGUGUCAAACCCAGGCGCGGAAUGAAAGUGAACGGAGGUGGGAACCCGUCAGACGGCGCACCAUCGACCGAUCCUGAUGUCUUCGGAUGGAUUUGAGUAUGAGCAUAGCUGUUGGGACCCGAAAGAUGGUGAACUAUGCCCGGAUAGGGUGAAGCCAGAGGAAACUCUGGUGGAGGCUCGCAGCGGUUCUGACGUGCAAAUCGAUCGUCAAAUCUAGGCAUAGGGGCGAAAGACCAAUCGAACC
rnacentral:rRNA from 1 species